rnacentral:rRNA from 1 species
CGUCAAGUCCUCAUGGCCUUUAUGACUAGGGCUGCACACGUCCUACAAUGGCACGCACAAAGGGAAGCAAACUCGCGAGAGCAAGCAAAUCCCAAAAAACGUGCCCCAGUUCGGAUUGCAGGCUGCAACUCGCCUGCAUGAAGCCGGAAUCGCUAGUAAUCGCGGGUCAGCAUACCGCGGUGAAUGUGUUCCUGAGCCUU